ACCUCAUCAGCUCUAUGGCGGCCA
rnacentral:siRNA from 1 species